rnacentral:snRNA from 1 species
UCGCGGGUGCACCGCCGACCG